GAAGAGCAGAAGUGUGAUUUUCACGUUAAAUGGGGGAUUUCCACAAGAAAACGUGUGAAUUUGGGGGAUAAUGGGUAUUUUUGAAGAGAUAAUGCAUGAUUUGGGGGUAAAUGCGGGAUUUUAGAAGAGAAAAGGCAAGAUGUUCGGGUUAGAAUGGGGGACUUUGCAAGAGAAGUUGUGUGAUUUUGGGGAUAAAAGGGGGAUUUUUGAAGAGAAAAUGUGUGUUUUUUGGGAUGAAAUCAGGGAUUCUCGAAGAGAAAAUGCCUCAUUUUCGGGUUAAAUGGGGGACUUUGGAAGAGAAAUUGCAUUUUCUUCUGGUCAAAUGGGGGAUUUUCGAAGAGCAACUGCAUGAUUUUCGUUUACUUGUGAGAUUUUUGUAGAGGAAAUGCAUGAUUUUUUGGAAACAUGGGGACUCUUGUAGCAAAAAAGUUUGAUUUUGGGUCAAACGGGGGAUUUUUGAAGAGCAGAAGUGUGAUUUUCACGUUAAAUGGGGGAUUUUCCACAAGAAAAUGUGUGAAUUUGGGGGAUAAUGGGGUAUUUUUGAAGAGAUAAUGCAUGAUUUUGGGGUAAAAUGGGGAUUGUUGAAGAAACAGUGCAUGAUUUUGGGGUUAAGGGGUGUUUCUAGAGAGAGAAAUUGCAUGAUUUUGGGAUAAAUCAGGGAUUCUCGAAGAGAAAAUGCCUCAUUUUCGGGUUAAAUGGGGGACUUUGGAAGAGAAAUUGCAUUUUCUUCUGGUCAAAUGGGGGAUUUUCGAAGAGCAACUGCAUGAUUUUCGUUUACAUGUGAACUUUUUGUAGAGGAAAUGCGUGAUUUUUUGGAAACAUGGGGACUUUGUAGCAAAAAAGUUUGAUUUUGGGGUCAAACGGGGGAUUUUUUGAAGAGCAGAAGUGUGAUUUUCACGUUAAAUGGGGGAUUUUCCAAGAAAAUGUGUGAAUUUGGGGGAUAAAUGUGGUAUUUUUGAAGAGAUAAUGCAUGAUUUUGGGGUAAAUGCGGGAUUUUAGAAGAGAAAAGGCAAGAUUUUCGGGUUGAAGGGGGACUUUGCAAGAGAAGUUGUGUGAU
rnacentral:lncRNA from 7 species